GACGAACGCUGGCGGCGUGCUUAACACAUGCAAGUCGAACGGUAAGGCUCCAGCUUGCUGGGGUACACGAGUGGCGAACGGGUGAGUAACACGUGGGUGACCUGCCCUGCACUUCGGGAUAAGCCUGGGAAACUGGGUCUAAUACCGGAUAGGACCAUGGUGUGGAUACUGUGGUGGAAAGUUUUUUCGGUGUGGGAUGGGUCCGCGGCCUAUCCGCUUGUUGGUGGGGUAAUGGCCUACCAAGGCGGCGCCGGGUAGCCGGCCUGAGAGGGUGGACGGCCACAUUGGGACUGAGACACGGCCCAGACGCCUACGGGAGGCAGCAGUGGGGAAUAUUGCACAAUGGGCGGAAGCCUGAUGCAGCGACGCCGCGUGGGGGAUGACGGCCUUCGGGUUGUAAACGCCUUUCACCAUCGACGAAGGGUUUCUGACGGUAGAUGGAGAAGAAGCACCGGCUAACUACGUG
rnacentral:rRNA from 1 species